GAUGAACGCUGGCGGCGUGCCUAAUACAUGCAAGUCGAGCGAACGGACGAGAAGCUUGCUUCUCUGAUGUUAGCGGCGGACGGGUGAGUAACACGUGGAUAACCUACCUAUAAGACUGGGAUAACUUCGGGAAACCGUAGCUAAUACCGGAUAAUAUUUUGAACCGCAUGGUUCAAAAGUGAAAGACGGUCUUGCUGUCACUUAUAGAUGGAUCCGCGCUGCAUUAGCUAGUUGGUAAGGUAACGGCUUACCAAGGCAACGAUGCAUAGCCGACCUGAGAGGGUGAUCGGCCACACUGGAACUGAGACACGGUCCAGACUCCUACGGGAGGCAGCAGUAGGGAAUCUUCCGCAAUGGGCGAAAGCCUGACGGAGCAACGCCGCGUGAGUGAUGAAGGUCUUCGGAUCGUAAAACUCUGUUAUUAGGGAAGAACAUAUGUGUAAGUAAAUGUGCACAUCUUGACGGUACCUAAUCAGAAAGCAACGGCUAACUACGUG
rnacentral:rRNA from 1 species